AGUCGUAAAACAUAUAUCUAAAGGUUUAAGGACUAGAAUAGAUAUUGGGGAUGUUAGUGGUGAAAGUGGAGAACCUCAUUUCUCUUAAUGUUGUUGAUGUUCACCUGAGUGCAAAGGCUGUAUAUUACACAUCGAAGUACAAACAAUUUGGGAACCUUUCUUAUGUUACUGGUGCAUUGAGGAGCUUCAUGGGGCACAGUAAUCGGGACCUCAGGAUCA